GGUUCACAGGAGGUUAUAAAAGAUUUUUGAAUAGAAUUUUUUAAACAACAAUGACAAAAAUAUUUUCUCUGUAUUUGCAAGAUGUAGAAUAUCAGAUUGAGAAACAAGUUUCUGGUUAUUAUUGGAAUACUCAGUCUCCCCUUCUUGCCUUUUUAGUAAGUACCUGGAAAGAACUGUCCAUUGCUUUCUCCAGGUUGGCACACAGUGAUAGAAUUCAUUAAAAACAGUUGAGUAUCACAUUAUUUCCUGAUUGUUUCCUAUGGGGAUUAUUAACUAAGGAAGAGCGCACUUCAGUGUUCCAUCUGACAACUUCCUAGUCCUUCAGACGUGGGCAAUCUUGCUCCCGAAGAAUCUCUGGACAGAAAUACCCCCAUCGGACAAGCUGAAGGAUUUCUAUGGUCAUCUUUUGCUCCAGUAGUUCCUGAUUUGGUGGUUAAGUGUAAAGGCUAAUGUAUCCUGGAGGAUCUUACUCUAAACUAGCUGUGCUCUUCCAUGCUGAGCCAGCUAAAAAUAUGCUGGAGAAUCUGAUAGCAGAUACACAGAGCUUAUGCCUUCUGGACUUUGAUGAUGUCUCCACGUUUCAGGAAACUUGAAUUGGAUUCUGGCAUUCCAGCCUAAUUUACAGGCAUUGCCUUUCAGUAGCCUUAAAAGAAUGGGGAUUUCCUUAUUUUCCAGGCUUUGGCUCCAAAUCAUAGCUAACCAAAGGAACAGACUUAGCUGCCGCUGAACAUCACCAUUGCCAUCUGCAGAGAUGAGGAGUCGAGAACUUCUCAGCUUCACCUGGACCACAGGGAAACCCCCGCUGCUAGCUCUCAAACAGCGCGCGCCAGGCCUCCUCGCUGCGCCCCAAUGGCCAGAAGGGGGCGCCCGAACUCAACGUAACGGCCCAACCGACACCGCCCACCUGCGGGAGCCGCCUGGCCGCCCUGCGACUCGCGCCCCGGCGAACCGCGACUUCGCAGGCAGCGGGGGAGGCGCCGCCGGCAUCCGGGACCGCGUGGGGCCGCCAGGACAGCGAGCAGACUCUCCCAUGUCGAGCCUGACGGCCGAGGGGGAGCCGUGCCGCACUGGGCCCCGAGCCUUUCGUGUUCCGGGUCGGCCCCUGCGUGGAUCCUCUCCUUGGUCGCGCAGUGUUCCAGCCCGAGCGGUUUACAAAAGGGCGCGCGCGUUUCCUCGGGACGCGGGGCCCGAACCGAGAGCGCGCCGCGCGGGGUCUGUUUGCAGACCCAGGAUUGUGUCUGGGGAGAAGGACACGAGUUCAGGGAAAGGGGUUACGCGUCUACAGUCUGGACACAAAUCAGGGCGAUGGUGGACAUGACCUCUACCGCGGAGAAGGAGAGAACAAAGACCAGAGGUGGUUGAUGGACAAGAAGCAACCGUACGAGCCAGCAGACCGUCGUCCCUGACUGAUUGGCCUAUGAAGGACAAUUUGGAAAAACCGAAGACGGAGGUCAGAGGGUGAGAUUCUAGGCUGGAUGACUCCAUUACUUCGCAACCUAGAGCAGCUCCCAGCAAAAGGCAGAGAACUGUGAGUCAGGGGCGAAUCGUUAGGGGACCCACAGCCAGUCCUUCAGCACGUGAAGCCACCCCCUUUCCUUGGAUAAGUAGUGUUUGCCCUGGGGAGCAUAAGAAGGGUCACUCCUCAAGGUCACCUCCUCCCUGAGUUCUCUAGCCCUGGAUUUUCUACCUAUAUGGUUACACAUCCUGUCUGAAAUUCAAGUUAGGAGAAUCGAAUUUUAAAAAUGAAUGUUCACUGUUAUUAAUUAUGUAAUAAAAAAGCAGACAUUAAUCUUCAUAGGCUUUAAUUGCUGUGUAAGUGCGCACCUGUCUGGAGGAGAUAAGGUGCUUUUUUUGGGCCUGGAUGUGGGAGCCACGGCAGAUGAAGAGACUGGAAAAGAGCCAGGACGAGUUACAGGGACCCCACCCUCUUCUCUCCUCCAGGUGGAAACGGCACAACAGGUGGCCCCAGUGGCUCUUUGGGUUUUCUCCUGGGGACUCCUCCUCUUUGGUGACUCCAUUUUUUUGUGCCUCUUCUUUUUCAGCAGUGACUCCACUUGGCCCUUCAGUGGCAUUGGCGCCGACCCCAUGGAUGUAGAAGACUGUGGAGAGACCUUUAGAAUGUUCGGUCGUGUUGGCUUCAAUGGGCUGAAUAGUGGUCCCGGGUGAGCCCAGGAAACUUGCAUCCUUGUGACAAAUCGCAGAGCCCACCUGUGGCGCAGGCAGGUGUGUGUCCUGAAGAAGAUACCCCACGACUCUACCGAGCACACGAUGAUCACCAGUUAUUCGCAUUGAGUACACGAUCCUGCACAAUGUCCUCAAGAAUGGCUGUAAAGAAGGAUUUACCCGAAAAGGAGUUUGGCAGGCAUUGCUCUUGUGCUCAGAGACACCCUCCCCCUCAACCCCCACCUGCUCCGCCCACAAGAAAACAUGUACACACACUCGCCCAGAUGGCACCAAGUUGAGGUCACCUCAUCAGUGUUCUAGUCAGUCACCAGCAGGUGAGGACUGAGUCAGGUACUGGGAGAGAAGAGCAAGGAAUGGAAGCCGCCUGAGUAGUGGUGACAGAGACCUUGUUCCUUCCGGCCCAAGGGUCCUUCUUUUGUUACUCCCUCUUCAUUUGUUACUCUCCUUCACCCCUCCUCGCUCUCUCCUCACUUUGCUCCGGGUGCUGUGUGUCUGCAGGGUGAGCAUUCCCGUCUUUGAUGACCGGGGACCCAUGUGCCCCGCUGUGAUGUUGAGCCAGGCAAGGUCUCAGGGUGACCAACCAGCAGGGAGAAUUGACUUUUGAGUUCAAAGUUUGUUUCCAAACCGAUGGAUAUCACAGACAGUGCCCACCUCUGAGUAGCACCUCCCAUAGUCUCAGGCCUUAGCACAUCCACCUCAGGACCUCGCUUAGCAGAACCUUCGCCCCGCCCCUGCCCAGUACUCACCGACUUCUGUGUCCCCCGUAUUUCAGCUACUUCUCUAACAUCUGAAAAAGACAAGCUUUAGAGGAAGAUUAUCCAGUCUCUGACCCCCUUCGGAGCUGGGCUGCCUGGAGGGCAGGAGAGGAGGUGACCCGUGUCAUGGCUUGCUUUUCUCAUCCAUAAUUUUGAAUCCAGUUCCCUUCCAGUGGCUUAGAGAGUGACAUGAGUGUUACUGGAAGUCCAUUUCUUUCCUGAACCUGUAAACAGUGUUUUCUCCUUUCCCUCUCAGCUUUGCUGAACCAAUUUCAUCAGCUGCCCCCUCUGCAGCUACCUCCCAUCAGGAGGGGAAAGUGAGAACAUGUCCUGCUUGGUCAACCUCAAUGCACCCAUGGUCCGUGGUUCCCAACAGACCACCGCCACCACCAGUGCUUUACCAGAGCAGAGUCCCAAGUGCUGUGUCCCCUGCUGGCCCAGAGCAAGUCCUGUGAGGAGGGGCGGGGAGGGGCGGGGAGGGGAGGAGAGACUCAGAGUUCAGUGCUAUGCUUUCACUGAGGCGGAGAAGUGAGUAGCAUUGCCCCCGUCUCCAGCUGUCAUCCGGAAGGGAAUGGGAUCUUGGGCGCAGGUGGAAACUAUGCCCCAUCUCAAAUUCAUGGCCCUAGAUUUCUUCUCCUCACCCUUGGAACUACAGGCAUCAUGACGGAAAUUUUUGAGUUCCACAGGUCGGUUGUAGGAGUUAGAGCCCCAGCCCUCCAGGGGGCCAGCUCAACACCUUGGCACGGGGUUGGUGCUAAACUUGGAUGAAGUCCUAAACUGGCCUCAUCUCUGUCCUGAAUAUUUGGGUGCUACCCCCAAAGCUUCCUGGAGGGAGCCCUAGAUGACUGCACUUGUGCUAGUGAUAGAUUUGCCAGUUACCCAGGCAGAUAAUUCAGAGAGAUGAGAAUUGGGGGUGGGAGGUGGGGAGUAAGGCACAGAGGAUGGGUAGGGCAGGGGUUCUGUGGACCCAGGCUCUAGAAGGGGCGACCUGUGGGCACCUGAUCUGAUAGCCCACCAUCUUGGGAGAAGGGAUUGUGACAUUUACUCGGUGCUGUGGGUACACAAUCUCACACAAUCUGACUCUCGUGGGUAUGCUUAACAUGUCCAAAAAAGUGUGUAUCUCUAAAUCUUGUGCAAUUCCUGUGGCCAAAACAAAACUCAACUUUGAACACCUAGGUGGAAUCCCAGAGAAUGUCCACCCAUGUCUUAAAGGUGGUGUACCCAGGGGUAUGGAGAUACAAGUAUUUGAUGUUUCCCCUUCUGCCCCUCAGAGAAAAUGCUAAGCACAUACCUCCAAUGUUUAUUUUAUUUAUAAUACAUUAUGUAUAUUACAGUUAUAAAAUACUGUGCAUUUUAUAAAGUAUGUUGGUAAUAGAGAUUUUUAAAUGGAUAAGUAAAUCUGUGAUAAAAUAUUUUUUAAAUGUUUAUUUUUGACAGCACAAGUGGGAGAGGGGCAGAGAGAGAGGGAGACACAGAAUCGGAAGCAGGCUCCAGGCUCUGAACUGUCCACACAGAGCCUGACGCAGGGCUCGAACUCAUGAACUGUGAGAUCAUGACCUGAGCUGAAGUCGGAUGCUUAACCAACUGAACCUCCCAGGCAUCCCUAUGAUAAAACAUUUUUAAAUUGUAUUUUUAUUAUUAAAGGGACAUCAUGAUUUGACCUCAAAUAAUACACAUACUAUGCUUCUUGGAAGAUGUGACAAUAGGCAUCAAUAUGCAGGGUAAUUAUUACAGGAAUAGAAUGACAUUUUAUAGAAUCCAAGUA
rnacentral:lncRNA from 1 species